rnacentral:lncRNA from 1 species
GUAAGCUAGCUGCUGCAUCCAAAACAGACCCUCAAAUACUAACCAAGAGAAUCACAGGUGGUGCCCAAGACUCAAGUGAGAAGAGUUUUCUGUGUUCCAGAUGUGAUAUAUAGAAGAAGAAACAUUCCCUUGAGGAGCUGACAGUAGGGAUUGCAGAGGACUCAGAUACCAUAUGAGUAGAUAUGGUAUCUCAGAUACCAUGUAAGAGAUGUGAAUUCUGAAGUACAUGAGAGAGACAAAGCAGCAAAACAGGUAAUUAAUCCUACCAGUCCCUCUGACAGAAAUAAAUUUCCAAGAAGGAGGAAGAUAGCUCUG